AGCCAGGGCACCUUAAAGAGACAGAGAGCUACAACAAGGGUGCCAGGAGGGAGGAGAGGCAGAGCUGAGUCCCGUGGGAACUGGGACCCACGGGUGACAUCUCAGCAAGUGGCCCAGCCUGGUCACACAGAGGCAGGCCAGCACGGCCCAGUGGCCCAGUCAAUGAGACAGGAAAAGGAUGCCAAGAAUCUUUCUCUGCUGGCGGUGAGUUCGGGGUGCAAUUCCUUGUAGAAUUCCUCAUAGCUGGCCCCUGGCUGGCCUCCACCGUGGCCUUGCUUUGGGACUGUGACACAUGUGUUUCACAAUUGACUUCACCUGGUAGUGUGGGAGAGGAGCUGAAUGCCAGGGGCUGUCACUGGGGCUGGGAAACAUGAGCGCCAUAGCUCCAGUGGGAUUCUGGUUCCAUUCUGCCGCUUCAAGUAACCAGUGUGUGAGUGUGUGUGUGUGUGUGUGUCUGUGUGUGUGUGUCUGUGUGUGUGUCUGUGUGUGUGUGUCUGUGUGUGUGUACACAUGCGGCUGUGACAGGGAUUAAACCCAGGAGCUUCCCAAUGUGGUACAUCCCAGCCCUUUUUUAUUGUGAGUCAUGGUCUCGAUAAGCAGCUAAGUUUCCUGGGCUGGGGCUUGAACUUGUGACCUUUCUGCCUCUGCCUCCCAAAGUGCUAGGAUUCUAGGUGUUUGCCACCCUGCCAGGCUGGAGUUUGGCAUCUUUGUGUCCAAUUUAAAGAUGAGGCGACUGAGACUAAUUGCAGUGGAAAGAUUACUCAAGGUCACAGAUCCUUUCGGCUACCAUCACACUGCCAGCCCAGGCUGGCAGUUAGGUGCAAGGCCUGGAAGACCCGGUGACUGUGUCUGUGCGUGUGUGUGAGUGUAUGUGCAUGCAGGUGUGUGUGUGCAGGCUUCUCUGAAACUGUGGAAGCUCAUGAAGGAUUUCGAAGAACCAGUGGACAUUUUCCAAGUGGUCUAAAGGGUAAAGGGCAUUCGGGGAGAGUGAUGGCUCGCGCAAAGGUCCGAGGGAGGCCCAGACAGGCCCGAUUGUUUGCAGAACCGAGCCAGGAAUGGGGUGAAUGCUGAGACAGAGGCUGGUACUGGGCAGUAGGCUGGGGAUGAGGGGACAGAGGAGCUUGGAGUGGGCAGCUGGAGGUGAGGUCCAUACUCAAAGCUGGAGACUGGAAUGCUGGGUGGCAUCAUUGGCACAGGGUGACACACAGGGGGCGCUACAAACAGAAGCCUGAGCGCUUCAGCCCCCGGCCUCACUCAUUGAGCACUCCAGCCCCGUCCUCGCUCAUUGGGCGCUCCAGCCCCUGGCCUCCCUCAUUGGGCGCUCCAGACCCAGGCCUCGUUCAUUGGACGCUCGCGCCCCACCCCCUCUCUGCAAGCGCGUGGCGGCAUCACCCUGAAGACACUUGAUGUGUGUUAACGCAUCAUAGCACAGCAUGAAGCCAAAGGUGUAGCUGUGCAGUCUCAGCCCCUGCUGCCUCUGGGAAGGACUCUUUGCCACUGCCAGGUCGGCCCCGGCCGCCCGGGUCCACAGGGAGCGGUCCUUCGCGAUGGACACGGUGUCAGCCACUGGGCCCGCGGUCACCGUGUCCCCGGCCGUCCCCAAACUGUGGCAGCCUCUGCAGAUGCUGUACACGGGAAUCGUAGCCCGGCUGCUGCAGGUGAGGCCGGGAACCAGAACCGGGCUAGGGGCCCGGGUCGCCCGCCUGUGGGAGCUGGGCCGCGGGUCCCCUCGGAAGAGCCUUACCCGACCUGCAGGAGCGCGGUGUGGACGGCAGAGGGGCGGGCUGUCCUGAGGAAGCGGCCUGGGGCGAAGGCAGCGAUCACGCGGCCAUCUGUGUGUGCAGCCUAAGGGUGCAGCGAAUUGAGACACAGCAUCCUGGACGAGUGAUGCCUGAUUUGUGGCGAUCAUCGUCAUGGUGGUUUUGUUUGCAGCCACAUAAACCGAUGGCUUCUAUCAUGUAUUUACAAUGUGUGGGGUGUGUGCAUGGGUGCAGUAAUAGAAAACAGCUCACCUAAGCAUGAUCCGGACACAUUCUGGCCACGUGUGAGACACCGCGAUGAAGAAGGGCCUGUCGCCAACUGGGAAACAGGCUCAACUCACUCCCUAAGUUUAGAGACUCCACAUACCCGACAACAACGCGAGCCUGCCUGUAUCCCCUUUCCUGCAGUUUCUUCAGGGCACCUGGAAGUUGGUUUACACUACUGAGAGGAGAUUGAGAGUGUCUGCGAUGAUCCUUUGUGAUUGCCCUGCCAGUUCUGUUAAUGUUUCCGUUAUUUGUGCGCUUCCUUUUCAGCUGGUUGCUACAUUGUCUAAGGAUAGUCAGCCCCGGCCUGACUUUUACGGGCUCCCCUGGAGGUGUGUGUUGGGCACUGCCUGUUUGGGAAUCAUUUUGUUUGCCAUUUUCUUCUGGAGGACUGUUUGUGCUGUGAGUGAAUUAACUUGUUCUUUAACUUCUGAAUACAUCAAGCAUUUUAUUAUCACUGGUCCUUUCAGUUAUUAACAUAAACAAAUAAGUAGUUUUAAUUCAAACUAGUUUUCUGAAAUAAUUUAAUGUAAUCUUGGUAUUGGCAAGCAAUUAAGAGCAAGCUAACCAUAUCCACUUGUUAGUAGAGUUGGGGACUCGUACAGCCAUCCUGAAAAGCAGUUUAAUAAUUCUAUAUAUCACAAGUGUUUAAAAUGGGAUACAAAACAGGAUAAGAAAUAUACAUUGUUUUCAUAUGGUAUGAUGAUGUCAGGAAACGAUCUUAGGGAAAUAAAUUACAUGUUAAGAUUUUAUACAAAGGUGUUACAUGAAAUAGUAUUUAAUAGAGUAAUAACUUGGCGAAACCUGAAUGAUCUGUACUAGGGAAUAUCAUGUUUCAUCUUAUUUAUAUCCACAGAUCAGAACAUUAGGCUGCUGUGUGGAUUUCAAAGGCAGGGGGCAAAGAAGGUGUUCACAAUUUAAUGUGAAGUGGGAAAAGUGGAAACAGACUGUGAGGUGUUGAUAAACUGUGUUGUAGGAACAUACAGGGCAAGAAAUACAGUAUGAUGGUAGAAAGGUGGAGGCAAGACCAGGCAUAGUGGUGCGUGUAUUCCUGCAGCCCUGGUGAAAGGGAGGCUGAGGCAGGAGAAGUGCAAGUGUGAGCCCAGCCUGGGCACCUUGGUCACUUACCAAGAGCCUGUCUCCAGAAUUAAUGGGAAGGCUGAGAAUGUAGUUCAUUGUGAAGGCCCUGUCCCCGGUACCCAAAACAACCCCACAACAGCACCUUAUUAAAGAUUCCUGUGAGGACUUCUCGAAUCUCACUGAACAGCUUCGUGGAUGAAAGAACGCCUGGAAGGGUAAGCAGGAGUGUGUGGGGGUGAAAACGUGCUGCUCCCCUGCUCCUCUCCUUCUGCUCCCCUGCAGCUGCUCCCCAGCAGGGCUCUCAGGCUCAGCCCUGCAGCUUCACACCCUGAACCUGGGCUCACUUCCUCCCACUCCCUGAGGUCAGGAGGCUCUGAGGCGCCACUCCUGAUCCUGGAGAGGACACUUGUCGUCCCCCCCAAGCUGGCCACUGCGCUCUGCUGACCUACACUCUUUUUAUAGCAUUCGGAAGAAGACAGAGUGUGUGUUACAGAGAAGUGCAGUGAUCCCUGCUGUGGUGUUUAAUUAGUUACAGUUUAGGAUUUAUGACCCCAGAAGGCACUGGGAGGAAGAACUGGGUCUGUGCUCUUCCUGGAAGCCCUUAGCUGUCAUUUCUCUGUGUUCUUCCGGUGUCUUCCCUUCCGCUUAGAUUUAUUACUGUUUUUGUGGUCUGGGGAAAUCAGAUGAUGAGGGCUAUUAGAUUAUUUCUUAACUGAAUCAAUAGAUCACUUGAAAUAGGUUUUCUGAGGUAUCUUCCAGUGAGUGAGAGGCGUAUCUUAGGGCAAAGGUUAUGCUGGUAAUCUCGCUCACCAGUCUUCCUUAUGGUCACCAUUUCUAGACUGCAUGCUUGCUGUUCGGGAUUGUCAAGUAAUUCUGAGUUAAGGAGAGAAUAUACCAAGUUACUGAACAGCAGAUUGCUGAGAAGGUGAAGAAUACCACAAAGGACAAUGCAGUUGUCCAAAAAGUGUCCAGUUAUAAACAGAAGAUCGAGGAAUCGAAGAAGCUUAUUCAGGAGACCAAGGAAAAAAAUUCAAUUCCCUGUAAUCAAACAGUAAAAUACAAGGCUGAAAUCAAGAUGCUUGAAGAAAGCAAUAAAUUUCUGAGUGAUACUGCCAAAACUCUUCGUGUUAUAUUCACAUCUGAGAGGAAAUGAAACGUGAAAAAUCAGAUUUGGGAGAAACAAAACAAAGCAAGGCAAAACAAAACAUAUUCGUAUAAACCCAUGAAACAAAAAAAAAUAUAAGACUAUUGUACAAAUCGUUCUACCAUAGUUUCUGUGUUGUCUCUUGUUAUCUCCAAUAGAACUGGCUAUAUCAUCAGACACAGUAUGAUUGCAUAUGUCAGUACAUAACAGUAUUAAUGAAAACACAACUUUGUAUAUAGAAUAGAACUUCAAAACUGGCAGUUAUCAAACCAGGAUGUGUAUCAUUGAGUCUUGUCAUCUUCAGUAUAGUUGCCUAUACUCUCAGACUUGAUACUAUCAAUCAUAUCAGUUUUGAAUAAAAUAUUCCCUGCCUCA